rnacentral:rRNA from 1 species
GUAAGUUAUUAAGGGCACACGGUGGAUGCCUUGGCAUUAAGAGCCGAUGAAGGACGUGUGAAUCUGCGAUAAGCCUCGGGGAGCCGAUAACUGGGCUGUGAUCCGAGGAUUUCCGAAUGGGGAAACCUGGCUCAUCUUCAUGGUGAGUUACCGCCAGCUGAAUGUAUAGGCUGGUUGGGGGGAACGCGGGGAAGUGAAACAUCUCAGUACCCGCAGGAAGAGAAAAUAAAGUAAUGAUUCUGUGAGUAGUGGCGAGCGAAAGCGGAAGAGACUAAACCUGUGGUGUGUGAUAGCGGUUAGGCGUUGCAUCAUGGGGGUUGUGGGAGUCACAGUGGCAGUUCUAACUGGCUGCCGGCAUGAUGUUCAGGAUGGUAGGUGAACGACUUGGAAUGGUCGGCCGUAGAGGGUGAGAGUCCCGUAAUCGAAAUUGUUCUGUCCGUGGUGUGGCCACCCGAGUAGCACGGGGCUCGUGGAAUCUCGUGUGAAUCUGCCAGGACCACCUGGUAAGUCUAAAUACUUCUUAAUGACCGAUAGUGAAUCAGUACCGUGAGGGAAUGGUGAAAAGUACCCCGGGAGGGGAGUGAAAUAGUACCUGAAACCGUGUGCUUACAAGCCGUUGGAGCCUUUUGGGGUGACAGCGUGCCUUUUGAAGAAUGAGCCUGCGAGUUAGUGUUAUGUCGCGAGGUUAACCCGUGUGGGGUAUCCGUAGCGAAAGCGAGUCUGAAUAGGGCGUUUGAGUGGCAUGACCUAGACCCGAAGCGGAGUGAUCUAUCCAUGGCCAGGUUGAAGCGACGGUAAGACGUCGUGGAGGACCGAACCCACUUCAGUUGAAAAUGGAGGGGAUGAGCUGUGGAUAGGGGUGAAAGGCCAAUCAAACUCUGUGAUAGCUGGUUCUCCCCGAAAUGCAUUUAGGUGCAGCGUUACGUGUUUCUUGCCGGAGGUAGAGCUACUGGAUGGCCGAUGGGCCUUCACGGGUUACUGACGUCAGCUAAACUCCGAAUGCCGGUAAGUGAGAGCGUAGCAGUGAGACAGUGGGGGAUAAGCUUCAUUGUCGAGAGGGAAACAGCCCAGACCACCAACUAAGGCCCCUAAGCGUGUGCUAAGUGGGAAAGGAUGUGGAGUUGCUUAGACAACCAGGAGGUUGGCUUAGAAGCAGCCAUCCUUGAAAGAGUGCGUAACAGCUCACUGGUCAAGUGAUUCUGCGCCGAUAAUGUAGCGGGGCUCAAGUACACCGCCGAAGUUGUGGCAAUGAUCUUUUUGGAUUGUUGGGUAGGGGAGCGUCGUGUGGCCGGUGAAGCUGCGGUGUAAACCAGUGGUGGAGGCUAUGCGAGUGAGAAUGCAGGCAUGAGUAGCGAAAGAUGAGUGAGAAACUCAUCCGCCGGAUGAUCAAGGGUUCCAGGGUCAAGUUAAUCUGCCCUGGGUUAGUCGGGGCCUAAGGCGAGGCCGACAGGCGUAGUCGAUGGAUAACGGGUUGAUAUUCCCGUACCGGUGAAAAACCGCCCAUACUGAUAUUGUGAUGCUAACCAUGCGAAGCAUGAUGUGCAGGCUUUUGUUUGUGUGUUGUGUGGGUUGUGGGACCCGAUCUUUGGAGGUAAACGUGUUAACAGGUGUGACGCAGGAAGGUAGCCAAGCCACGCGAUGGUUGUCGUGGUCUAAGUGUGUAGGGUUGUCGGUUGUUAAAUGCGCCGGCUGUGUGCCUGAGACGUGAUGGGACCCCGUUUUUGGGGGAUUUGGUGAUCCUAUGCUGCCGAGAAAAGCAUCGGCGUGAGGUUUUAGCCGCCCGUACCCUAAACCGACACAGGUGAUCAGGUAGAGAAUACUAAGGCGAUCGAGAGAAUCAUGGUUAAGGAACUCGGCAAAAUGCCCCCGUAACUUCGGGAGAAGGGGGACCUUGAGCGUGAUGGGCACUUGCUGCCUGGAGCGUGUAUGGGUCGCAGAGACCAGGGGGAAGCGACUGUUUAUCAAAAACACAGGUCCGUGCGAAGUCGUAAGACGAUGUAUACGGACUGACUCCUGCCCGGUGCUGGAAGGUUAAGAGGAUUGGUUAGCCUUUUUUGGGCGAAGCUGAGAAUUUAAGCCCCAGUAAACGGCGGUGGUAACUAUAACCAUCCUAAGGUAGCGAAAUUCCUUGUCGGGUAAGUUCCGACCUGCACGAAUGGCGUA